rnacentral:tRNA from 1 species
UGGGUUGUGUACUGUUGUGCAGCGUUGUAUCUAGCCUCUGAGGCAAUCACACCAGAUUCACACGAAAUUAGGUAAGUUAUUGUUAUUAAUUGGAAAUGCGCGGGUUCAAUUCCCGCCAGCCCAA